AGUGAACGCUGGCGGUAGGCCUAACACAUGCAAGUCGAACGGCAGCACAGUAAGAGCUUGCUCUUACGGGUGGCGAGUGGCGGACGGGUGAGGAAUACAUCGGAAUCUACUUUUUCGUGGGGGAUAACGUAGGGAAACUUACGCUAAUACCGCAUACGACCUACGGGUGAAAGCAGGGGAUCUUCGGACCUUGCGCGAUUGAAUGAGCCGAUGUCGGAUUAGCUAGUUGGCGGGGUAAAGGCCCACCAAGGCGACGAUCCGUAGCUUGACUGAGAGGAUGGUCAGCCACACUAGAACUGAGACACGGUCCAGACACCUACAGGAGGCAACAAUGGGGAAUAUUAGAGAAUGGGCGCAAGCCUGAUCCAGCCAUACCGCGUGGGUGAAGAAGGCCUUCGGGUUGUAAAGCCCUUUUGUUGGGAAAGAAAAGCAGCAGGUUAAUACCCCGCUGUUCUGACGGUACCCAAAGAAUAAGCACCGGCUAACUUCGUG
rnacentral:rRNA from 1 species